rnacentral:rRNA from 1 species
AAUCAACGCUGGCGGCGUGCCUAACACAUGCAAGUCGAACGCGAAAGCCCCUUCGGGGGUAAGUAGAGUGGCGUCCGGGUGAGUAACACGUAGGUAAUCUACCUUCGGGUGGGGAAUAACCAGUCGAAAGAUUGGCUAAUACCGCUUAAUGCAGCGGCACCUAAUGGUGAUUAGUUGUUAAAGCGGGGGAUCGUAAGACCUCGCGCCUGAAGAGGAGCCUGCGGCAGAUUAGCUAGUUGGUGAGGUAAUGGCUCACCAAGGCUUCGAUCUGUAGCUGGUCUGAGAGGACGGCCAGCCACACUGGCACUGACACACGGGCCAGACUCCUACGGGAGGCAGCAGUGGGGAAUUUUGGGCAAUGGGCGAAAGCCUGACCCAGCAACGCCGCGUGAGGGAGGAAAUCCUUCGGGAUGUAAACCUCACAAGCAAGGGAAGAGAGCUCAGGGCCGAAUAAGCUUUGAGUCCGACGGUACCUUGCGUAAGCCACGGCUAACUACGUGCCAGCCGCCGC